ACCAAUCGCCGAUCCCAUUCCUCUCCUCACCCGAGCUCCUUCCCUUUUCUCUCUGUUCUCUCGCGGACGAGUCGAAGCCAAGCCGAGGGAUCUUCGUCGAUCGUCGACGCCGCCCGAGGAGGAAGCCACCGUAGCUUGCUGGAACACGACAGGAACCAGCGGAGCCGUGCUGUCUUCGGCUGAGAGGGGGAUCUGUUCGGUGGAUUUGGCGGCCGAGUGUCGACGGCGAGGCGGCUAGGGCACGACAGGUGCCCCGAUCUGUGUUGUCCCUAGCCUAUCGGUCCUUCGAUCCUUCUCCACGAGUUGUUCACAGAGUAGUCCGCGUCUCCCUUCUCGCCGGAUUUGGAUCAAGCGGCGCCAUCGAGGAGUGAUCUUGGAGGGCCGGAGCUACCGGCUGUGCCCUAGCUGUGAUCCUUGAGGCAAGGAUCAAUUCCUUGUUGUCCAUUCUUGCUCUUCUUCCUUACUGCUGGCUAAUCUGUUGAGAGGAUUGAUUCCAGUGAGGUUGAGUGUUUUAUGGAUCUAGAAUUGGGUUCUGUGGCUUCCUGUUCCAGCAGAUCACCUUGUUUUCUAGCAGUUUAAUUGAGGACUCUGAUUCGAGACGGGCGUCUCGACUUUGGAUCGGUUGAUUGUACCUUCUAUUUGAGG